GAUGAACGCUGGCGGCGUGCAUAACACAUUCAAGUCGAACGGGGCAGCAAUGCCUAGUGGCGGACGGGUGAGUAACGCGUGAGCAACCUGCCUGUGUGAGGGGGACAACAGCCGGAAACAGCUGCUAAUACCGCAUGAAGUAUUCGAAUAGCAUGGUUUGAAUACCAAAGAUUUAUCGCACACAGAUGGGCUCGCGUCCGAUUAGCUAGAUGGUGAGGUAACGGCUCACCAUGGCGACGAUCGGUAGCCGGACUGAGAGGUUGAACGGCCACAUUGGAACUGAGAUACGGUCCAGACUCCUACGGGAGGCAGCAGUGGGGAAUAUUGGGCAAUGGGCGAAAGCCUGACCCAGCGACGCCGCGUGAAGGAAGACGGUCUUCGGAUUGUAAACUUCAAACAACAGGGAAGAAACAAAUGACUGUACCUGUUAGGAAGCCACGGCUAACUACGUGCCAGCCGCCGCCGUAAAAC
rnacentral:rRNA from 1 species